AUGCACGCUGGCGGCGUGCUUAACACAUGCAAGUCGAACGGAAAGGCCCAAGCUUGCUUGGGUACUCGAGUGGCGAACGGGUGAGUAACACGUGGGUGAUCUGCCCUGCACUUCGGGAUAAGCCUGGGAAACUGGGUCUAAUACCGGAUAGGACCACUUCUUGGAUGUUGUGGUGGAAAGUUUUUUCGGUGUGGGAUGAGCUCGCGGCCUAUCAGCUUGUUGGUGGGGUAAUGGCCUACCAAGGCGUCGACGGGUAGCCGGCCUGAGAGGGUGUACGGCCACAUUGGGACUGAGAUACGGCCCAGACUCCUACGGGAGGCAGCAGUGGGGAAUAUUGCACAAUGGGCGCAAGCCUGAUGCAGCGACGCCGCGUGGGGGAUGACGGCCUUCGGGUUGUAAACUCCUUUCGCUAGGGACGAAGCGUUUUUGUGACGGUACCUGGAGAAGAAGCACCGGCUAACUACGUG
rnacentral:rRNA from 1 species